UUGUCUUGCAGUAUCUGCCAACACACUUUCUCUUGUGGAGCUACCCGAGGAUAACAUUAAUCCAGGUGAAAGAACUUCUGCAGCAGACGAUGAGGAGACUCUGUCAGUAGACUCAAGAAGGCUGGAGGACUCAGAUGGUGUACUGCCUGAGAGCCAAUCUGGGAACAUAGAUUCAAAAACUGUCAGAGGUCUGUACAGCAUACACUUAAAAAA